rnacentral:rRNA from 1 species
AUUGAACGCUGGCGGCAGGCCUAACACAUGCAAGUCGAGCGGUAGAGAGGUGCUUGCACCUCUUGAGAGCGGCGGACGGGUGAGUAAUGCCUAGGAAUCUGCCUAGUGGUGGGGGAUAACGUUCGGAAACGGACGCUAAUACCGCAUACGUCCUACGGGCGAAAGCGGGGGAUCUUCGGACCUCGCGCCAUUAGAUGAGCCUAGGUCGGAUUAGCUAGUUGGUGAGGUAAUGGCUCACCAAGGCGACGAUCCGUAACUGGUCUGAGAGGAUGAUCAGUCACACUGGAACUGAGACACGGUCCAGACUCCUACGGGAGGCAGCAGUGGGGAAUAUUGGACAAUGGGCGAAAGCCUGAUCCAGCCAUGCCGCGUGUGUGAAGAAGGUCUUCGGAUUGUAAAGCACUUUAAGUUGGGAGGAAGGGUAGUAACCUAAUACGUUGCUACUUUGACGUUACCGACAGAAUAAGCACCGGCUAACUUCGUGCCAGCAGCCGCAGUAACAC